UGNGUUCGAGGCUAGCCUGGUCUACAGUC
rnacentral:piRNA from 1 species